CAAAGGUUUGGUCCUAGCCUUACUAUCAGCUUUAGCUCAAAUUACACAUGCAAGUCUCCGCAGUCCCGUGAGGAUGCCCCCAACUUCCCACCCGGAAAUAGGGAGCCGGCAUCAGGCACGAUUAUGAAGCCCAAAACGCCUUGCUCAGCCACACCCCCAAGGGAAUUCAGCAGUGAUAAACAUUAAGCCAUAAGCGAAAGCUUGACUUAGUCGGAGCUAAGAGGGCCGGUAAAACUCGUGCCAGCCACCGCGGUUAUACGAGAGACCCUAGUUGAUUGAAGCGGCGUAAAGAGUGGUUAUGGAAUUUUUUACCCUAAAGCAGAAAACCUCUCAAACUGUUAUACGCACCCAGAGGUUAAAACCCCUUACACGAAAGUGACUUUAUUUUCGCCUACCAGAACCCACGAAAGCUAGGAUACAAACUGGGAUUAGAUACCCCACUAUG
rnacentral:rRNA from 1 species